rnacentral:lncRNA from 1 species
UCCAGUUCAACCGAAAUAGACCUAAUCUAGGGGGCACAGGGACAAUCCAUUCCACUAUGGCACAAUCUACCUUCCAAAAGAGCAAGAGUACAUCAAGAACCACUCAAAUCACAAGGUUUUGAUCACCGAUUUAAAAGAUCUCGUGAAACACAACUCAUAAAAUCAACCAAACGUUUAGGAGUUUAACAAUACAAAGAUCAGCCACCCUCUCAAGCCUGAUCACUAACAAAAACCACAAACUCCAUUCUAAAGAUCACAGAAACCUUACAAUACAAGAAAAAAAUUUCAGACUCAGAGACGAAGUAGAGAGAGACCCAGAAGAGAGAAGGAGAAAAAUCUGGAAUGAACCAAAAGUCACGAGACUUUUGGGUAGAAAAGGAUGGUCCACCUCCCAAGGAUCAAUCUCAGCCUUCCAUUUAAUCCAAUGGUCCAAAACGAGUCUCAACUAGCAUGGUCCAAAACGAGUAUCAAGUGUCCAAUAAUCGAGUGCCAAGUAGGCGGAAUUUUUCAAGUAAGCAGAAAGCCCAAUUGACAGAAAUAACACUCUUUUAGAGUGUUCAGAGAAACACCACUUUUCACAUUCUUCACCUUGAUUCUCAACAAUACUCACUCUCUGGUUGCUGAAACUGCCAUGGAACAGCUCUCUAUCAUCAUUGCCCUAGGGCCUGCAAAAGAAAAUUAACCUGUGUCAAUAUGAAGCAAGGAUAAACAUGUUUUAAACUUACUUAUAGGCAAAACUUUGGUUUCCAUAUCAAAAGGAUUUUUAUCAGUAUGAACUUUAAUCAAUUUAACUUCACCUUGAGACAAUUUUUCUCUUAUAAAAUGAUACUUUACCUCAAUAUAUUUUGAUCUUUCAUGAUAGACGGGAUUUUUAUUUAGUAAUAGAGCACUCUGACUAUCAGUAUAUAUAAUAUGAGUAUCAUUCAUAAAGUUCAAUUCUUUUAAAAUCCCUCUUAACCAAGUACAUUCUUUUACAGUCUCAGUUAUGGCUACAUACUCAGCUUCUAUGCUGGACAAUGUAAUCAAUGGUUGUAAUUGUGAUUUUCAAUUUAUUUAAUUUUUGCCAAGAGUAAAGAAAUAAGCUGUAGUAGACUUUCUACUGUCUUUGUCACCAGCAAAGUCAGUAUCAACAUUGCCUUUUAGAGUUAAAUUUUUAGAUCUUUUCUCAUACACUAAUCCCAAAUUUAAUUUACCAACAAUAUAUCUAAGCAACCAUUUCAUCCCAACCCAAUGAGGCUUGCUAGGAUUGGACAUAAUUUGCUUAGGAAACUGAUUGCAUAAGCAAGGUCAGGUCUGGUUGUUAUCAUAGAAAACAUAACAGAACCUAUAGCAUUUAUAUAGGGUAUGUUUUCCAUUUCCUUCACCUCUUCUUCAGAUUUAGGAGAGUGUGAUGUAGAUAGGUUCACGUGGGCUGCAAGGGGUACAUUAACCACUUUACUAUCUUUCGUACCAAAUAUGACCACUACUUUAUUUAGGUAUGCUUCUUUUGUAAUGGUUAACCUAUUUUCAUAUCCGAUCCUUUUUAUAGCCAUCCUUAGGAUUUUUCUAGCAUAUCCUAAGUCCUUCAUAUCAAAUUCAGAUUUCAGAAGAUCCUUUAAUCUUGUAAUUUGAGACUUAUCAGGAUUGGCCAGAAGCAUAUCAUCCACAUACAAUAGUAAGUAAACUUCACCCCCAUUUUUCAUGUUGUUAUAAUAUAAGCAAGCGUCAAAUUCACUUCUUUUGAACCCAAUUUUUAACACAUAUGCAUCAAACCUUUUAUACCAUUGUCUAGGACUUUGUUUCAAAUUUGUUUUUAACUUCAAAGCCUUGAGGCUGACUCAUGAAGAUAUCAUCUUCCAACUCCCCAUAUAAGAAUGCAUUUUUCACAUCAAGUUGCUCAAGUUCCCAAUUGAAUUGGACAAUUAGAGCAAAUAUCAACCUGAUAGUUUUAUAUUUGAUUACAGGUGAGAAUAUCUCAUUGUAAUCAACCCCUUCUUUUUUAGUAUACCCCUUUGCCACUAGUCUGCCUUAAACCUAAUAGGAUCGGUUGGGCUAUUACCCUCUUUAAGUUUGUAAACUCAUUUACAUUGUACUACCCUAUGAUCCUCAGGUUUUCUAACAAGUUUCCAAGUUUUAUUUUCAUUCAGGGAUUGCAUCUCUUCUUUUAUGGCCUUUAACCAAUUUUCAGAAUAUUUCCCAUGAAUAGCUUCUUCAUAAGAGGUAGGUUCAGCUUGUUCUACUUCUUCUUUGGAGACUAAGGCAAAGUCAGUCAAAUUUAAUAGUUCAUAACUAGGAUUAGGUCUAGGUUGUCUUCUUGCCCUAUACCUUGUGAGAUGAUAAUCUUGAACCUCAGUAUGUUCAGUAAUAUGAUCAGGUUCUUCAGAUUCAGCCCCAAUCUGGGGUUCAUUAGGCUCUGCAGGUUCAGUAACUUAUUUAUCCUGAUGAUGUACAACAUCAUUUCCAUCAUCUUCAAAUUGAGAUGGGUUAAAUUUAGUUAACUUCACCUCACUUUGAACAGUCUUAUUAUUUUCAAAUUUAUCUGUUCCUGUAAAUUCUUGUUUUAGGCAUGACAUUUCUGAUUUAUUGAAGAUUACAUCUCUACUAUUAACAAUCUUAAUGCAUCGAACACCAAAAACUCACAACUUGUAGCCUUUAACACUUUCUAGAUAUCCUAGCAUCACACAUUUGGUGGCUCUAGGUUCCAAUUUUCCUUCAAAUUGAUGUGCAUAUGUUGUACAUCCUAAAACCCUUAUAUAAGUUAAGUUUGGGGGUUUACCUGUCCACAAUUCUUGUGGGGUCUUAAACCCUAUACUACUAGAAGUGGAACUAUUGAUCAAGUAAGCUGCUGUACAAGCAGCCUCAGCCCAAAACCCUUUAGCUAGACCAGAACUGAUAAGCAUGCAUCUAACUUUACUCAUUAUAGUCAUGUUCAUUCUCUCAGCUACCUCAUUCUGCUGAGGUCUGUGUUUCACAGUCUUAUCCUUAAUAUCCCUUUCUGUUUAAAGAAAUUAUCAAAUUCAGCAUUACAGAACUCCAACCCAUUAUUAGUUCUUAGGGUUUUCAAUUUUUUCUCUAAUUGAUUUUCAACAAUUUUCAGCCAUGUCCUGAACUUCUGGAAGGUUUCAGAUUUAUCCUUUAAGGAAUAAAUCCAAACCUUCCUAGAGUAGUCAUCUAUAAGUGAUCAGAAAUAUCUACUUCCACCAAAAGGUGGAGUGCUUUUCUGGACCCUAAAGGUCAGCAUGUAGGUAAUCCAAAGGCCUAUUGGUUCUAUCUGAGCUAGAUUCAAAACUAACCUUGUGGGACUUACCUAACACACAAGUCUCACAAAAGUUCACAGACUCAAUGUCAUCCUUUCCAAGUAAUUUUUGAUCAAUUAAAGAUUUUAGCCCUUUAUUUCCAAAAUAUCCCAAUCUGUUAUGCUAAAGACCAGAUUUAUUUUCAUUAACAGUUAGAGCAUUUGAAUCAGAUGAUAUAACUGUUUUUCCUUCUACACAGUAUAGUCCAUUUCUUUUAGGUCCAUUCAUCACAACUAAAGAACCAUUCAUAAUUUUUAGGGUUUUAUUAUCAGAUUUGAAGUUAUAUCCUCAUCUUCAAGUAUCCCUAGUGAAAUAAGGUUCCUUUUCAGAUUUGAGACAUAUCUCACAUUUUUUAUUGUUCUGACAAUGCCAUUAAACAUUUUUAUGGCAAUGUCACCAGUGCCAAUUACAGUCUAGGAAUUAUUAUCUCUCAUAUACACUUUUCCUGGUUCUAUUUCUUUGUAAUUAUAAAACCAUGUUUUUUUAGGCACAUAUGAAAGAUACAUCCAGUAUCUAGGAUCCAGUCUUUACUAGGGUUUUCAGUUGACACAUUUAAUACAUGUAGGCUAUCUAAUUCAGACACUAUGGCUGCAUUAUUCUGAUCUUUUUGUUUCUUUUUUCAAUCAAAACAGUCCCUCUUGAAGUAUCACAACUUCCCACAGUUAUAACACUUCUUAUUAUUUCUGUCUUUAGAUUUAGAUCUACUUUUAGAUCUCCCUUACACCUUCUUGUUUUGAAAAUUAAAUUCAUUCUUUUCAGUUUUUCCCCUUACAAAUAAGCUUUCUUUUCUUGAAUUGUUUCUAUUUUCUCUCCUGACUUCUAAUUCUCUUGACCUUAAAGUAUCUAUUACAAUUGAUUGUGUGAGAGUAUCCCUGACAUACUUUAUGGCCUUUUUGACAUCUUUGUAAGAUUCAGGCAGUGAAUUUAAAAGAAUAACAACCAAGUCCUCAUCUUCAAUUUCUUUUUAUCAUAGUGUGCUAAGCUCUUAACUAUUAUACUGAAGUCGCUUAAAUUGACUUCCAAAUUCUUUCCUGGGUCUAUUUUAAAACUAAAUAAUUUUUUCUAAAAAAUAUAUCUUGUUAGGAAGAGUCGUGAUUAAGAACAAACCAUCCAAGGCAGUCUACAAAGUUCUUGCAGUUUUGGAAUCAUCAACUUGUCUAAUCACAUUAUUAGAUAAAUGCAAGAUUAUAGAACUAUAAGCAAUCCCAUUCAUUUUUUCAAUUUCAGCAGGUUUUACUUUUAACUCAUCAGAAAAAGUUGCAGGAUCAUCGAGGGCCUUUGCAAGCCUCUGUUGGAUCAAGAUGACCCUCAUUUUCUGCUUCCAUAUAGAGCAGGCCCCCUUUCUAUCGAAUUGAGACAAUUCAACCUUCGAACCCAUUACAAAUUAUGUAAAAGGGUGGGUAGUACUCAUGGGUAUCACAAAAAAAGUUUUGAAUUUUUAUUUUAUUUUAUUUUUAUGUAGUAUACAGUUUCAAGAAAUCCAAAAAAAAAAAAAAGUCCAAUAACAACAUUUCAAAGAUUGAAGCAGAGUAUAUCAAAUAUUUGACAGUAUAUAUUUUAUAUCAGUUUCGUCUGAUAUACAAAAUCUUCAGUCAAAUAUAUAUAUCAAGGUACAAAACGGGCUAAUUAACAAAUCUCAGGCAGAUCAAACCAGAUAUAUGUACAUUACCGAGUCACCAAAAAUAAAGCACCAUAUAUCAUAUAUGCCAGUAUUCCAAAAACAUAAAUGUCCAACUUAAAUUGCCAAGAGUUAUGGACAGAUGUUACAAAAUACUGCUAUAACAAUAUUAGUGAUACAGUGCAUGAAAUCAGGUCAACAACCAAAAGCCUCUGUUUGUCACCUUCGUGACUGCUUCCAAAAACAAACCAAUUAGUAACGAAAUUUAUUGCCUAAAAAUUUAUCCAAAAAUUAAUGACAAGAUACCAAACUGCCUAUGUGUAGAUCUAAAAUGAUCUACACAGAUCGACGAACCAAAGUGGCACAGAAUAAUGAUUUACACAGAGAAGUACUGAACCCAGAAACCAAGUAGCUCUGAUACUAGUUUGUAAGGAUUUACGGUUGAUUUUCUAAAAAAAGAUUUGUAAUAAAACCAACAACACACAACAAAAAACACAAAACGAACACAAGAAUACCAAAGAUGUUAACACAGUUCAACCAAAAUAGGCCUAAUCUAGGGGACUCAGGGACAACCCGUUCCACUAUGACACAAUCUACCUUCCAAGAGAGCAAGAAUACAUAAAAAAACCACUCAAAUCACAAGAUUUCAGCACCGAUCUAAAAGAUCUCGUGAAACACAACCCACGAAAUCAACCAAACGUUUAGGAGUUUAACAAUACAAAGAUCAGCCACUGUCUUGGGUCUGAUCACUAACAAAAACCACAAACUCCAUUUUAAAGAUCACAGAAACCUUAAAAUACAAGAGAAAAAUUUUAGACUCAGAGACAAAGUAGAGAGAGGCUGAGAAGAGAGAAGGAGAAAAAUCUGGAAUGAACCAAAAGUCAUGAGACUUUUGGGUAGAAAAGGAUGGUCUACCUCCCAAGGGUCAAUCUCGGCAUUCUAUUUAAUCCAACGGUCCAAAACGAGUCUCAACUAGCACAGUCCAAUUGAGUAUCAAAUGUUAAUAAUCGAGUGCCAAUUAGGCAGCAUUUUUCAAGUAAGCAAAAAUUUAUCCACAAAUUAAUGACAAGAUACCAAACCGCAUGUGUGUAGAUCUGAAACGAUCUACAUAGAUCGACAAACCAGAGUGGCCCAGAAUAAUGAUUUACACAGAGAAGUACCGAACCCAGAAGCCAAGUGGCUCUAAUACUAGUUUGUAAGGAUUUACGGUUGAUUUUCUAAAAAAGAUUUGUAAUAAAACCAACAACACACAACAAGAAACACAAAACGAACACAAGAACAUCAACGAUGUUGACACAGUUCAGCCGAAAAUAGACCUAAUCUGGGGGGCUCAGGGACAGCCCGUUCCACUAUGGCACAAUCUAUCUUCCAAGAGAGCAAGAGUACAUCAAGAACCACUCAGAUCAUAAGGUUUCAGUCACUGAUCUAAAAGAUCUUGUGAAAUACAACCCACGAAAUUAACCAAACGUUUAGGAGUUUAACAAUACAAAGAUCAACCACUGUCUUAGGUUUGAUCACUAACAAAAAUUACAAACUCCAUUUUAAAGAUCACAGAAACCUUACAAUACAAGAGAAAAAUUUUAGACUCAGAGACGAAGUAGAGAGAGACCCAGAAGAGAGAAGGAGAAAAAUUUGGAAUGAACCAAAAGUCUCGAGACUUUUGGGUAGAAAAGGACGGUCCACCUCCCAAGGGUCAAUCUCGGCAUUCUAUUUAAUCCAACGGUCCAAAACGAGUCUCAACUAGCACAGUCCAAUUGAGUAUCAAAUGUUAAUAAUCGAGUGCCAAUUAGGCAGCAUUUUUCAAGUAAGCAAAAAUUUAUCCACAAAUUAAUGACAAGAUACCAAACCGCAUGUGUGUAGAUCUGAAACGAUCUACAUAGAUCGACAAACCAGAGUGGCCCAGAAUAAUGAUUUACACAGAGAAGUACCGAACCCAGAAGCCAAGUGGCUCUAAUACUAGUUUGUAAGGAUUUACGGUUGAUUUUCUAAAAAAGAUUUGUAAUAAAACUAGCAACACACAACAAGAAACACAAAACGAACACAAGAACACCAAAGAUGUUGACACAAUUUAGCCGAAAUAGGCCUAAUCUGGGGGG